GGGGAAUCUUUCGCAAUGGGGGCAACCCUGACGAAGCAAUGCCGCGUGGAUGAAGAAGGCCUUCGGGUUGUAAAGUCCUUUCGUGGAGGACGAAAAGGCGGGUUCUAAUACAAUCUGCUGUUGACGUGAAUCCAAGAAGAAGCACCGGCUAACUCCGUGCCAGCAGCCGCGGUAAUACGGGGGGUGCAAGCGUUAAUCGGAAUCACUGGGCGUAAAGGGUGCGUAGGCGGUACGUUAGGUCUGUCGUGAAAUCCCCGGGCUCAACCUGGGAAUGGCGGURGAAACCGGCGCACUAGAGUAUGGGAGAGGGUGGUGGAAUUCCAGGUGUAGCGGUGAAAUGCGUAGAGAUCUGGAGGAACAUCAGUGGCGAAGGCGGCCACCUGGCCCAAUACUGACGCUGAGGCACGAAAGCGUGGGGAGCAAACAGGAUUAGAUACCCUGGUAGUCCACGCCCUAAACGAUGAAUACUAGAUGUUUGGUGCCUAGCGUACUGAGUGUCGUAGCUAACGCGAUAAGUAUUCCGCCUGGGAAGUACGGCCGCAAGGUUAAAACUCAAAGGA
rnacentral:rRNA from 1 species